UUCCGGUUGAUCCUGCCAGAGGUUACUGCUAUCGAGGUUCGACUAAGCCAUGCGAGUUGAAUGUCGCAAGACAUAGCGUACUGCUCAGUAACACGUGGAUAACCUACCCUUCGGAUGGGGAUAAACCCGGGAAACUGGGUAUAAUACCCAAUAGUUCUUGGCUGCUGGAAUGCAUCAAGUUCGAAAGCUCCGGCGCCGAAGGAUGGGUCUGCGGCCUAUCAGGUAGUAGUGGGUGUAACGGACCUACUAGCCUACAACGGGUACGGGUUGUGAGAGCAAGAGCCCGGAGAUGGAUUCUGAGACACGAAUCCAGGCCCUACGGGGUGCANGCAGCGCGAAA
rnacentral:rRNA from 1 species